rnacentral:lncRNA from 1 species
GUAAGCUACAGUUGCAUGAACAACGUUAAGUCUAUAAUCACCAAACACAACGCACAUAUAAUUAGGAACAGUCAAUCACAGAAUACGGAAACUGACAACUGUAACUGCGACAACAAAAACACUUGCCCACUACCGAAACAAUGCAUGACCAACAACAUUAUUUACAAAGCAACAGUCACAACGAACAACACAAACGAAACUAAACACUACAUUGGUAUGACAGCGACUACAUUUAAGGAACGUUACGCUAACCACACUUCAUCUUUUCGUCAUAAAAAAGACUCAAACAAAACGGAACUUUCGAAACAUAUUUGGAAAUUAAAAG